rnacentral:rRNA from 1 species
GACGAACGCUGGCGGCGUGCUUAACACAUGCAAGUCGAACGGAAAGGCCCUGCUUUUGUGGGGUGCUCGAGUGGCGAACGGGUGAGUAACACGUGAGUAACCUGCCCUUGACUUUGGGAUAACUUCAGGAAACUGGGGCUAAUACCGGAUAGGAGCUCCUGCUGCAUGGUGGGGGUUGGAAAGUUUCGGCGGUUGGGGAUGGACUCGCGGCUUAUCAGCUUGUUGGUGGGGUAGUGGCUUACCAAGGCUUUGACGGGUAGCCGGCCUGAGAGGGUGACCGGCCACAUUGGGACUGAGAUACGGCCCAGACUCCUACGGGAGGCAGCAGUGGGGAAUAUUGCACAAUGGGCGGAAGCCUGAUGCAGCAACGCCGCGUGCGGGAUGACGGCCUUCGGGUUGUAACCCGCUUUCGCCUGUGACGAAGCGUGAGUGACGGUAAUGGGUAAAGAAGCACCGGCUAACUACGU